rnacentral:rRNA from 1 species
GAUGAACGCUAGCGGCAGGCCUAACACAUGCAAGUCAGGGGUAACAUAGGAAAGCUUGCUUUUCUGAUGACGACCGGCGCACGGGUGCGUAACGCGUAUACAACCUACCUUUUAGCGGGGAAUAGCCCAGGGAAACUUGGAUUAAUGCCCCAUAGUAUAUAGACUUCUCCUGAAGUUUAUAUUAAACAUUUAUGGCUAUUAGAUGGGUAUGCGUCCUAUUAGUUAGCUGGUAAGGUAACGGCUUACCAAGGCAGCGAUAGGUAGGGGUCCUGAGAGGGAGAUCCCCACACUGGUACUGAGACACGGACCAGACUCCUACGGGAGGCAGCAGUGAGGAAUAUUGGACAAUGGGCGAGAGCCUGAUCCAGCCAUGCCGCGUGCAGGAAGACUGCCCUAUGGGUUGUAAACUGCUUUUACAGAGGAAGAACCACCCCCACGUGUGGGGGUUUGACGGUACUCUGCGAAUAAGGAUCGGCUAACUCCGUG